GACGAACGCUGGCGGCGUGCCUAAUACAUGCAAGUCGAACGCUGAAGGAGGAGCUUGCUUCUCUGGAUGAGUUGCGAACGGGUGAGUAACGCGUAGGUAACCUGCCUGGUAGCGGGGGAUAACUAUUGGAAACGAUAGCUAAUACCGCAUAAGAGUAGAUGUUGCAUGACAUUUGCUUAAAAGGUGCAAUUGCAUCACUACCAGAUGGACCUGCGUUGUAUUAGCUAGUUGGUGGGGUAACGGCUCACCAAGGCGACGAUACAUAGCCGACCUGAGAGGGUGAUCGGCCACACUGGGACUGAGACACGGCCCAGACUCCUACGGGAGGCAGCAGUAGGGAAUCUUCGGCAAGGGACGGAAGUCUGACCGAGCAACGCCGCGGGAGUGAAGAAGGGUGUCGGAUCGUAAAGCUCUGUUGUAAGAGAAGAACGAGUGUGAGAGUGGAAAGUUCACACUGUGACGGUAGCUGAACAGAAAGGGACGGCUAACUACGUG
rnacentral:rRNA from 1 species